AUUGAACGCUGGCGGCAGGCCUAACACAUGCAAGUCGAGCGGAUGAAGGGAGCUUGCUCCUGGAUUCAGCGGCGGACGGGUGAGUAAUGCCUAGGAAUCUGCCUGGUAGUGGGGGAUAACGUCCGGAAACGGGCGCUAAUACCGCAUACGUCCUGAGGGAGAAAGUGGGGGAUCUUCGGACCUCACGCUAUCAGAUGAGCCUAGGUCGGAUUAGCUAGUUGGUGGGGUAAAGGCCUACCAAGGCGACGAUCCGUAACUGGUCUGAGAGGAUGAUCAGUCACACUGGAAAUGAGACACGGUCCCGACUCCUACAGGAGGCAGAAGUGGGGAAAAUUGUACAAUGGGCGCAAGACUGAUACAGACAUGCCGCGUGUGUGAAGAAGGUCUUCGGAUUGUAAAGCACUUUAAGUUGGGAGGAAGGGCAGUAAGUUAAUACCUUGCUGUUUUGACGUUACCAACAGAAUAAGCACCGGCUAACUUCGUG
rnacentral:rRNA from 1 species